UACGAAGGGGGCUAGCGUUGCUCGGAAUGACUGGGCGUAAAGCGCACGUAGGCGGCUCUUUAAGUCAGGGGUGAAAUCCCAAGGCUCAACCUUGGAACUGCCUUUGAUACUGGGGAUCUCGAGUCCGGAAGAGGUUGGUGGAACUGCGAGUGUAGAGGUGAAAUUCGUAGAUAUUCGCAAGAACACCAGUGGCGAAGGCGGCCAACUGGUCCGGUACUGACGCUGAGGUGCGAAAGCGUGGGGAGCAAACAGG
rnacentral:rRNA from 1 species